rnacentral:rRNA from 1 species
GACGAACGCUGGCGGCGUGCUUAACACAUGCAAGUCGAACGGAAAGGCCCCCUUGUGGGGUACUCGAGUGGCGAACGGGUGAGUAACGCGUGAGUAACCUACCCUUGACUUUGGGAUAACUUCAGGAAACUGGGGCUAAUACCGGAUAGGAGCUCCUGCUGCAUGGUGGGGGUUGGAAAGUUUCGGCGGUUGGGGAUGGACUCGCGGCUUAUCAGCUUGUUGGUGGGGUAGUGGCUCACCAAGGCUUUGACGGGUAGCCGGCCUGAGAGGGUGACCGGCCACAUUGGGACUGAGAUACGGCCCAGACUCCUACGGGAGGCAGCAGUGGGGAAUAUUGCACAAUGGGCGGAAGCCUGAUGCAGCAACGCCGCGUGCGGGAUGACGGCCUUCGGGUUGUAAACCGCUUUCGCCUGUGACGAAGCGUGAGUGACGGUAAUGGGUAAAGAAGCACCGGCUAACUACG